UGCCAUAAAAUAAUAUUUCAUUGCACAAGUAAAAGUAUAGUAACUUUUAAAACUGUUCAGAUUCUUAUAUGUUGCACACACAUCCACCAACCACUGGAACACAUCUCCAAAGUUCUGCUGGUCCAGCUCAGCUUCCCCUCAGAAGAAGUGCUGCCACCUGCCAGAUGAAGGAGCCUUUCGAGAGGCAGCUGGCAUCGUGAUUGGACUGUACUUUGGUCUGUUCCAAUCCAGCUUCAGCUCCAGAGACGGCAGGCGGGACGAGUCAACGGAGGCCUGGUGGACGAAGACAUGCAGCUGAGUACAAUCCAGAAAACAACAGAGGAGGAGUGCAGCGGCCCAGAGCCAGAACAGCCAGAGUAGCAUCGUAUGUCUCUUAGAAAACAUCAUAGUAUAGCCUUUGGUAUGAAAAAACACCAUCAUAUACAUCGUAUAUUGUACAAAUAACAAGUCAAAGGAAAGAGACAUACAUUGUAGAAUUGUAGUAAUUGUGGGCUGACUGAUUUACUGAUUAUCAGUAUUUUAUUUUUUACUGAUUUACAGUAAUAAAUAAAUUUAAAAAUGGUGCUACUUUGGCUCUGAACCUUUAUCUACCUGUGGUCGCUCUGUCUUCUGGAGUGAUUUGAUUGGUUAUACGUCACGAAUAAAACUUCUUUAACUUAACAUCUGUAAACAAAACAAAAACAUAUCAACAAAGUUUUCUGUUAGAGUUUGUGUUCUAAGUUUAACUCCAAGAUUUUAAAUACUUUCAUUUACUGCAAAUGAAUAUCUACUCCAAAUGUCUCACUAAUAAUCAUUAUCAGCCUUAAAAACCCACAAAAUACCCCUCUAUACUCCACCACACUUAGUACAGUCCGGUUCCCCCUUCUAUAAAUCUGCUUGGAAUCGCCCACUUCCUGUUUGUCAAAGUGGUCUUCUACCUGGACAGGUUUUGUUGGAGCUCAUGCAACAAACAUUUUGGGUAACUGCUAGUGAUGGUGAGAUGAAGCUUCAUGAAGCAUUGAGACUUCCAUCCAAUUGGUUCACUCAUGGGUUGAAGCUUCAUGGUGCUUCAUUUGCUCUACUGCGCCGUCAUGUGGACAAAUAAAAGUAAAACAGGCAGAGUGCUUAUAAUGACACAUUGGCUUCAUUAUGUGAAGCUUUGAACCGUGUUUAAAUGAUAAUGCCAGUAAACAAGUAAUAUACUCAAUAUAGUGUCUGUUUUUCCUGAUAGCAGGGAUAGAGGGGGAAGUGGAAACAAAUUGGGGAGAGAUUUGAGAUAUGGAGCUUGACUGUUUGAUUGGGGUCAGGUUCUAGUUUUCUGUAAAGUGCUUAGAUAUUUUAAUUAUAAUAAGGGCUAUAUAAAUAAAAUUUUAUGUGCUUGUGCUACUUGUUGUUUUGUGAUUGUGCUUGUGUUACUAGUGACGACCUGAAAAACAAAGUAGGGACAGCAUUUUAUUCAUUUCAAAAAUAUCAGUUUUUCAACAGUGCUGGGACUCAGGCGGUUUCUUUUUUUGGACAAUAUUUCUCAAGCUUUUGAAAAUGUCAUUGGUCUAGCCAGCCCCGCCCCUUUCUGGCCAUCCGUUCCCCUGCUGGGGUGUUGCUGGUCUGUGAGGCUCUCUGCAGCUGCUGAUUAAUGGAUUAGGUGCAGCUGGGAGAGCCUCACACCUGCAGCUCAUACCAUCUGCUAAGAAGACCGGCUUCACAUGGCAGGGGACAUGGGACCAUACUGCCUUGCUUCUAGUUCAGAGAAGACGCUGCAGCACUGAGCCGUGGAGCAGUCUGUCUUCCCCCCAGCCAUCCUCUGAUACGAGGACGAGGAUUUCCUGCCCUCCUCAAGGCGAGGAGGUGAACCGAUCGGCCGGCGUGAGCCCUGGACUGUUGCUCCCCGGUAGCCUGAUUUUGCCCUCCCUCACCUGAAAAAAUACCCUUUCACAAGGAACAGAUGAGGCUGGGGUAUAAAGAAUUUUUACAGCGAGUGUGUGCAAAUUCGGGUGAGGAAGCUUCUGAUGUAUGUGGCUGGGAUGAGGAGAGGAGGACGACGAUGACAUUGAUGGCAACAUGGCAUUGCUUCGCAUUACAGCAGCACACUUGGUUGUGAGCCUCCUCUCAGCCUCUGCUGCUUUAUUAGGGCUAAAGAAUCCUAUUUUUUGAAUCUGGGAUCCAGGAGGGUGGCCAGUGCCAUAAUGCUCAUUGAUUGUAGUGCGUAGAGCUUCUCUCUUAAUUGGUGUUGGAGGGCUUCAACCAGUGCUCUGCUCUUUAGAGUUUGGAUAUUUACUACGUCUUCUUCCUCCAACGCUCAGUGUAGCAUAGUCAAAAGUGGAAUGACUUUAGAGCCAGAUACUAGUUUCUCCUCUGACAGUUCCACUGUUGCAUCAUUGAAAGGUGCCAGUCUGCUAUAAUGUUAUAGUGUUCGGAUGUGAGAGACGUAAGGUCGGUACGCAGGCCUGCCAGAGCUGCUCCUACAGGUUCUCUCAGGUCAUAAAAGCGCUGGAGCAUAUGGUAGGUACUAUUCCACCUUGUGUCCACCUCCUGAAUUAAUUUCAGUGCCUGCUGGCCCAUUUGCUUUUGCACUGUUGUCAGCCUCUCCUUAAAAAAAUGAAAUUAAAAAAUACAUUCAAGUGUCACUGCAGCAGCAAUUUAAACAAAACAAUGUUAUUUGGAAUAAAAACAAGCACUUGCAAUAAAAACAAAUAAAUACUCACCUUUGCAGUGGUGCUACUCUUGAAGUAGCCCACUAUCUUUCUGGACUUUGCACGGAUGUCAGAAACCUCAGGGUUUUGGUCCAGAGCCUUUUUUACAGUUAGAUUCAAAGCAUGCGCCACACAAUUUGUGUGGUGCAAACGGAGCUCCCUGGCACAAGCCUCCAUAUUUGGAGCACCAUCAGUCACUAGGCAGGUGACUUUAUUGAUGAGACCCCAUUCAGACAUAAGUGCCCAUUUAACACUGACCAGAUUUUCAGCAGUAUGGGCCUGGGGGAAAUGCAGCACCCCUAAAACAACGGACUGCAAAGCAGUACUUGCAUCAAUAAAAUGGCAUGUCACCGCCAAAUAUGCAUCCAUGUUUAUCGAGGUCCACAUAUCAGACGUCAAACUAACAGAGGUUGCCUCUUUGGACUUCUUGUAUCUUUUCUCCACCAUAGCUUUUAAAGCCGAAAAGAGGCAAAAUAAAAGAACACUCUUAGAAUGGCCAUUAUGGGGAAAUGGUGAAAAAUGCUUCAUGUGCUCACAUACGUACCUGUCUUGUGGGGAGAACAUUGCUAGGGUUUAAAGCUUGAACAAGCUUCUUGAACCCUUUGUCCUCCACAGUAGAGAAGGGCUGGGAAUCCUCAAUGACCAUGCUCACCAAGGCCUCAUUCACAUCAUUCUCUCCUGAUGACAAAAUGAAAUCACUAUUUGGUUACAUAUAUAUUGACAAACAAGUAAUAUGCAGAAUAUAAAUUAUUGUUUUAUAAUGCAAAUAUAUAAUUCUAUGUUCUUGGGGGUUUUUUUUUGCUGACUUAUCAUUGCAUCCUAAAAUGCCUUACCUGAGCUUGAUCCACCGUGGUUGGUCUCCUUGUUCUUAUGCAGGGCUCUGUAAUGCCUCAGCAUAGAUGAGGUGGUGGUGUUGUAUCCAAGCUCCUUGGAGCACAACAGACACUUCACCUUUUAAAAUACAAAAAAGAAAA